rnacentral:rRNA from 1 species
GACGAACGCUGGCGGCGUGCUUAACACAUGCAAGUCGAGCGGUAAGGCCCUUUCGGGGGUACACGAGCGGCGAACGGGUGAGUAACACGUGGGUGACCUGCCCUCAGCUCUGGGAUAGGCCUGGGAAACCGGGUCUAAUACCGGAUAUGACUCCACGGCGCAUGUUGUGGGGUGGAAAGCCUUGAGUGGCUAGAGAUGGGCCCGCGGCCUAUCAGCUUGUUGGUGGGUGANGGCCUACCAAGGCGACGACGGUAGCCGGCCUGAGAGGCGACCGGCCACACUGGGACUGAGACACGGCCCAGACUCCUACGGGAGGCAGCAGUGGGGAAUCUUGCGCAAUGGGCGAAAGCCCUGACGCAGCGACGCCGCGUGAGGGAUGACGGCCUCGGUUGUAAC